rnacentral:SRP_RNA from 1 species
GCCGGGCAUGGUGGUGCAUGCUUGUAAUCCCAGCUACUCAGGAGGCUGAGGCAGGUGGAUGACUUGAACCCGGGAGGUGGAGGUUGCGGUGAGCCGAGAUAGUGCCACUGCACUCCAGCCCGGGUGACAGAGCUAGACUCUGUCUCAA